rnacentral:rRNA from 1 species
GCAGUCGUGGGGCAGCGCGGGUAGCAAUACCUGGCGGCGACCGGCAAACGGGUGCGGAACACGUACGCAACCUUCCUUUAAGCGGGGAAUAGCCCAGGGAAACUUGGAUUAAUACCCCAUAAGAUUAUGGUGUGGCAUCACACAGUAAUUAAAGCUCCGGCACUUAAAGAUGGGCGUGCGGCUGAUUAGGUAGUUGGCGGGGUAACGGCCCACCAAGCCUACGAUCAGUAACUGGUGUGAGAGCACGACCAGUCACACGGGCACUGAGACACGGGCCCGACUCCUACGGGAGGCAGCAGUAAGGAAUAUUGGUCAAUGGACGCAAGUCUGAACCAGCCAUGCCGCGUGGAGGAUGAAGGCCCUCUGGGUUGUAAACUUCUUUUAUUUGGGAAGAAACCGGACUUUUCUAAGGCCGUUGACGGUACCAGAUGAAUAAGCACCGGCUAACUCCGUGCCAGCAGCCGCGGUAAUACGGAGGGUGCAAGCGUUAUCCGGAUUCACUGGGUUUAAAGGGUGCGUAGGUGGGCAGGUAAGUCAGUGGUGAAAUCUCUGGGCUUAACCCAGAAACUGCCGUUGAUACUAUCUGUCUUGAAUAUAGUGGAGGUGAGCGGAAUAUGUCAUGUAGCGGUGAAAUGCUUAGAUAUGACAUAGAACACCCAUUGCGAAGGCAGCUCGCUACACUAUCAUUGACACUGAGGCACGAAAGCGUGGGGAUCAAACAGGAUUAGAUACCCUGGUAGUCCACGCCCUAAACGAUGGAUACUCGACAUCAGCGAUACACUGUUGGUGUCUGAGCGAAAGCAUUAAGUAUCCCACCUGGGAAGUACGACCGCAAGG